rnacentral:rRNA from 1 species
UACGUAGGGUGCAAGCGUUGUCCGGAGUUAUUGGGCGUAAAGAGCUCGUAGGCGGUCUGUUGCGUCGGCUGUGAAAACCCGGGGCUCAACCCCGGGCCUGCAGCCGAUACGGGCAGACUAGAGUUCGGCAGGGGAGACUGGAAUUCCUGGUGUAGCGGUGAAAUGCGCAGAUAUCAGGAGGAACACCGGUGGCGAAGGCGGGUCUCUGGGCCGAUACUGACGCUGAGGAGCGAAAGCGUGGGGAGCGAACAGG